GAGGGUAUAGCUCAGUGGUAGAAUGCUUGCUUAGCAUGCACAAGGUCCUGGGUUCAAUCUCCAGUACCUCCA
rnacentral:tRNA from 1 species